AAAGAACGGAUUGUAGGUCUGAUUGUGUUACGGAUAGUGCUGCUACCUGUAGUCAUGGUAACUUAUUUAGUACAGGUAGCCACUGGGAGCCACAUUGGCUCGGCCAGCUGUGAUGCCAUAUCUAUAGCUCUUGUAGGAGUUAAUGGAGAAAGUCCUAAACAUCUUCUGGGAGUAAUAUUUCCUGCUGGAUCUGUGAGUAUUGUCUUGUGGCUAUUAAAUAGAACAACCCCCCUCACCCCUCUUAAAAUCUGUCUAAGUGUGGUCUGUGCUGCAGUCUCAUGUGUUCUCAUGAAUUAAAAUAGUUACAUGAGGUAUAAGGGAAGGGAAAAUAUCAGCACUCUCAAAAAUGUGUUAAGUAGUUUAAAUACUGUGAAUGUGUAUGUACCUACAUCAGUCUACAGUAUAAUGGCUUUUUUUUCAUAAACCAUUCCUUUUUAAGGGACACUCUAAGCAUCACUUUACCUGUUACUAAUGUCAGUUUUGUCCAGUGGAGCAGUGCAGCUAAGGGGAAUGGGCCUUGACAUUGCUUGGAGACUGGCAUAGAAUAAGGGUAUGUGUGGAUUGGCUAUUGGGGCCCUCUGGCUUAAUCACCAUUUACCUGUUGUCAGUCCAUCCCUCCCUUUUCUCAGAGGCUAGCUACUGCUUGGUCAUGGCAGCAGGGAGAUGGAUAGAAAAGUUGUGGGUUGGGCAUAGGUAUGUUAGUUUUAGUUUGCUAAGAACAGUUGGGUUUGGACUGGUAUUGGUAGGUUCAAGCCUGUUGGUAGCUCCGAACCUGGUGUGUGUAGGGGGUGUCUUGGUAUACCCCUACACUGUGGAAGCUGGAAAAUCAUGCCCUUGGUGGUAAUGGUUUGUUAUAGUUUGUAUCAAUAACUGCCAUGUGGGUCAUAGUUAUGUUAAAGGUAUAGGGGUCAGUAGUGUAUUGUGUUGACCCUUACCUUAUAAUUUUACUUGUUAUGUUUCUAUAUCAAAGCUGUGAUAUUUUCUCCCAAUACAAGGUGUCUGAGUAUUUUUGGGGGUUAUGGGGUUACUUAAGCAAAUGCCAAUAGGGGACUACAUGUCUAGUGUAGGAGUUGGGGGUGUUUUUUUAUUUAUUUUUUUUUUAUUUUUUUUCAUGAAUGCAAAUGUUUGAUGCUGGCAUUAAAAACACACUUUAGGUGGCUGGUCACCCUUACUCUUGCUAACGCUCACCUUUAUACCUGAGCUGUGUGGGUCUGCCCUGGCUCAGAUCAAAAUUUACUGUCUCAGCCAGUCCAAUGAUUUCUUGAAUAAACUUGCAUGCCCAUCUAUGUUUUUAUUUUGUAUAUUUAAGAGUUUGCUGCUUUUAAAAAGAAAUGUUUAUUUCUGAUCAGGUGCAACAACAUGACAUUAACACACCAGCAGACCUGGGUCACAUAUUAUUUGUACGACUGUACAAGAAGCACGGUGUUAUUGAUAAUCCCUGG